UACGAAGGUGGCAAGCGUUUUUCGGAUUCACUGGGCGUACAGGGAGCGUAGGCGGUUAGGUAAGCCCUCCGUGAAAUCUCCGGGCCUAACCCGGAAAGUGCAGAGGGGACUGCUUGGCUAGAGGAUGGGAGAGGAGCGCGGAAUUCCCGGUGUAGCGGUGAAAUGCGUAGAGAUCGGGAGGAAGGCCGGUGGCGAAGGCGGCGCUCUGGAACAUUUCUGACGCUGAGGCUCGAAAGCGUGGGGAGCAAACAGG
rnacentral:rRNA from 1 species